CGGGAUUGGCGUCCGGAUCAUCUCGCGCCUCCGCAAGGGGGAUGGGACUGCUCGGGCUCAUCUGCAAGAGCCCCUCGCCGCCAUGCCGCCUGCUGCCGCUGACACCGUCAACGGGAGCGGACGAGCAGGAGAGAUCCUGUCGAUCUGAUGGCGAAAGGGCGAGAUAACCGGCUCCUGUAUGUUUUGGAAGGUCUACCUCGAGAUAAAUUUGGACACCGGCAAGCUCCUCUCAGUAAAGCAAGUCGUGGGAUUUGGGGAUUUGCACGUUUUGGUUUUCUGGUUUGUACGUAUUGUCUAAAGACUUGGAGUCAUUCGUUGCAGGUUACACCAAGUCUCUCCUUUGUUUGAUUUUGGUUCCAGCUUUGAUCGGGAGCACCAACCGCGAGCUGGGAGAAAGCCCAAGUGAGUAGCACUUCCACAGCAGAUUGGUUACCAAUUUAAUUGUUCUGAUUUUUCUUCAUGUGAGGUGAUUUCUGGCUUUUGUUUCUACUAUCACGCGCAUAUAAGAGAACUCGAGGAAGAAGUGAAGCUCCUCAUUUUCUGUGAAGAAGUACCUUGAGACUGUCCGUGAGGAAGACACGCUGAAUAUCUUGCUUGAUUUUGUUCCCCGCCCACUGCACGCCGCUGUCGAGAACACCUCUGCUACCUCCUCCCAAUCUCCGCCACAAGAUUCUCCGUCCAGAUCCUGGGCGAGGAAUAAAAAAAUUAGUUCUUGAAGCUUCUCCAUCAUGCCGGACGGACAACUGUAUCCGGCACCGUCGCCAUCGCUUAUGGAGUUCCACACCAUUGCCCAGUUGUACGAGAGCAUGUUCAAUCUUCUCCAUUCAAGACUAUGCAAGUGGUCAACUCUGCCAAACAAGAAGAUAUGAGGAUAUGGCAUAUAUGCCCCAUAAGAUAUAAAUUUGGGCAUAAAUUGUCACAAAUAGAUGGGUGGCGUGGGUCAAGGUUCAGAAACCCAGGGCAUCAUGUUUCUUUCGAGCCAUAUGAGGAGAACUACAUCCAUGGUAGUGGCUACAAUAUAAUCAGAGAGCCAUGUACAUGUUGAUUGUUAUGAAAUCAUGGGAUGGAAUCU